rnacentral:rRNA from 1 species
GAUAAACGCUGGCGGCGUGCUUUACGCAUGCAAGUCGAACGGUCUCGAUUUAUCGGGAUAGUGGCAAACGGGUGAGUAACACGUAAGUAACUUGCCCCUAAGUAGGGGAUAACUCUGAGAAAUCGGAGCUAAUACCGUAUGUGGUGGUGGAGGUAAUGCUUCAUCACUAAAGUCCUUCGGGUGCUUAGGGAGAGGCUUGCGUCCGAUUAGCUAGUUGGUAGGGUAAUGGUCUACCAAGGCGAUUAUCGGUAGCUGGUCUGAGAGGAUGGUCAGCCACACUGGGACUUAGACACGGCCCAGACUCCUACGGGAGGCAG